UCAAAUUAUAUCAUAUGAGGUUUCACUUUUAUGUGAUUGAUAUUCACAUAUGUAAUUUGAAGUAAUAAAUAGUAGUUCAUGGUUAAAAUAAUGUCAAUUUAUUACUGAUCAAAUAUAAAACUCACAUACAAAUUAUUAUAUGAGCCUCUUGGACUUCCCAAGAGAUAUGAGUGGACAUGGACACUGAAUAACUAAAAUAGAGCUAAUGUGUCAAUGUUUUAGAAAUAAAAUAGAACAGGCUAGCAUGACCACCAAGGGCCUGUGAUGUCCAAGUAGAAGGAUUGAGGUGAUAUGUAUUGUUAACAAGAUCAUGUCACUCAUGUCAUUGAUUUAUUAUACUGUUUUGCUAGAAUGUGGCAUACGGAUAUAAAAGAGUGUGUGAGUUGACUUAUCCUCACUUUUGUCAUCUUUGAGUCAGGUACCAACUGUUAAUGUUGACAGUGCUAUAUCAGGCAGUAAUAUGAAUGAAUAAAAUAGACAGGGCACAUGAUUAUGUUAUGAUUUUUGCAGAACAUCUAAACCUUAAUUGUUGGUCAUAUGAUGUGAUGGAAAAUUAUUAUUUCCUUUUUGUAUGAGAGCAAAGUCUUGAUUAGUGAUGAAAAUUAUUGGGUUAUCUAUAAUCACAUUGCCCCAGGUUAGAUGAUACAUCUAAGUUCAGCUUCAAGCGUUCAUGAGAGAAUCAAGUUAAUGAGUGAAGGGAAAUAAUGUUACUUAUUUAAUUUUGACAAAUUAUAUUUGUAUCUAAUUUAUGUGAAAUGUUAUAUGUUGUUAGAAUUCAAAAUGGCUUCACAUUGCUCCAGCUGCAUGAUGGGAGUUGUCACCAAACUGUAUGGUGCAAGGAAUUAUUGGCUGUGAAGUAAAUAUUUGAUGAGAAGCAACUGAAGGUAAAAUGUUAAUGGUUGCCAAGUUUGAUGAUACAGCAUCAAAGACUGACACAAGUUGAGUAUUUUUAACUAAAGUUCUUUGUUUGAAUAAUUUGAAGUAUAAAAUUGUCAAUGUCAUGGGACAAGUGCAACGAAUGUACUACUAACUGGUAAAAAGAUAAAUACACAAUAAAAUAUUGAUGUAUCAAUUUGCAUAGAACAAUUACAUGUCUUGAAAUGGAAGUGAUUUUAAUAGAACAAUUGAUAUCUUGGUAUAGCUAAACCAUGUUGGAAUACCUAAAGUCAACACUGUGAGCACAUGUUUAAAAAAAAAAAGAUAUCAAUAUUCUUGAUAGAGUAUCUGAAUUUGAGUACCUAUCUCAUGGUCGUUCAUCGGGUUGCAUAGGUAUCAGUCUGUUCGAAGCUGUCAUCAUUAUUACCCCUAUAAAAUGCUUCAUAGAUGAGCACAGGUCUCUCUCCUCGAAAUUCAUAUAUAUAAUUAAUUCUAAAGAGACAGAUAAAUUACAUUAAAAAAAAAAAAAAUAGUAAGGGUUGUACCUUACCUAAAUUCGUGCGACUAAUCUAAACAUAGAAUGUUAUGGCGAACACAGUUAUUGCCUAAGAAUUGUGGUUACAGAAUAUACUGGCAGGAGUCUGCUCGCCUAUGCGGCGAUGCGAGUCUGCACGCCUGAGCGGCGGUGCCAGUCUGCUCGCCUAUGCGGCGGUGCGAGUCUGCACGCCUGCGAUGCGGUGCCAGUCUGCUCGCCUAUGCGGCGGUGUGAGUCUGCUCGCCUACGAGGCGGUGCCAGUCUGCUCGCCUAUGAGGCGGUGCCAGUCUGCUCGCCUAUGCGGCGGUGCGAGUCUGCACGCCUGCGAGGCGGUGCAAGUCUGCUCGCCUAUGCGGCGGUGCGAGUCUGCUCGCCUACGAGGCGGUGCCAGUCUGCUCGCCUAUGCGGCGGUGCGAGUCUGCACGCCUGCGAGGCGGUGCAAGUCUGCUCGCCUAUGCGGCGGUGCGAGUCUGCUCGCCUACGAGGCGGUGUGAGUCUGCUCGCCUACGAGGCGGUGUGAAUCUGCACGCCUGCGAGGCGGUGCAAGUCUGCUCGCCUACGAGGCGGUGCAAGUCUGCUCGCCUACGAGGCGGUGUGAGUCUGCUCGCCUGCGAGGCAGUCUAUCGGAUAUGCUGAGCUCCAAUCGGCUGCGACACAAGUCUGAUGGAACGACUUGGAAGGCGCAGAAGGUGCAGGAGUUCUGUGGUGCUGCUGCUGGUCUUCGUGGGCGAAGAAUUCUCAUCAGGGAGGCCGAGCUAAUAACCGAUUGUGGUGCUUGCUAUGUCAAGCCCUACGGUCGGUGUCGCGUCACUAGUUGGCGCGGGUGGAGCUGUCAGAGGAUCGUCCGCCAUUACCGCGUCGUGCUAUGAAUUGUCCCAAGCUACGCUCUGUUUUCUAAGUGUUAUGUAUUAAAACCUGUAUUUGAUGAUGUCUGGUGUUUUCCCCUUUAACAAUA
rnacentral:misc_RNA from 1 species